GAUGAAGAACGCAGCGAAAUGCGAUAAGUAAUGUGAAUUACAGAAUUCAGUGAAUCAUCGAAUCUUUGAACGCAUCUUGCGCUCCUUGGUAUUCUGAGGAGCAUGCCUGUUUGAGUGUCAUUAAAUUCUCAACUACACUGACUUUGAAUUGGUGUGGCUUGGAUUUGGGGGGAAAAUUGUUGUGGGCUUUUUGUAUAGUCUGCUCCCCUGAAAUUGAUUAGCGGUACCUUUGUGGAACUGUCUACAGGUGUGAUAAUUAUCUACAUCUUAGACAUCUGCUGGAAUGCUGCUUUCUAAACCUUACUUGUAUUGACAAUCUUGACCUCAAAUCAGGUAGGACUACCCGCUGAACUUAAGCAUAUCAAUAAGCGGAGGA
rnacentral:misc_RNA from 1 species